UCAAAAAUAGUUCACCUUCUUUUCUUUCUUCUCCUUCUGAAGCAAAGUUGUGCUAGGGCAGCUGCGAAACCUUCCUCACAGCUAGUGGAAAUGUCUUUUUUUCAUCCCUAUAGUUGCUUCUAGAGUUGUGGUGCUCUUUCUGUUAGUGUUUUCCCCCCUCAAGUUUAACUCCCAGUCAAGGAUGUCAGACGAUGAACAGUGGAGGUGAUACUUUUAUACAAAUGAUGUAGAAAUUGUAAGGCUACAUAUAUAGACUCUAUUACGGACAAAAUAAUAACUAGUUUAUUUAUU